UACGGGGGGGAGCAAGCGUUGUUCGGAUUUACUGGGCGUAAAGGGCGCGUAGGCGGCGCAACAAGUCACUUGUGAAAUCUCCGGGCUUAACCCGGAGCGGUCAAGUGAUACUGUCGUGCUAGAGUGCGGAAGGGGCUACUGGAAUUCUCGGUGUAGCGGUGAAAUGCGCAGAUAUCGGGAGGAACACCAAUGGCGAAGGCAGCUCGGCUGGGACGGUACUGAC
rnacentral:rRNA from 1 species